rnacentral:lncRNA from 1 species
UAUUUAAUAUACUCGGUGCUCCAAUCUAUUAUUGAAUGAACUGUCCCUUCGAAAGUUAGCUUUCUAAAGCCAUAUGUACUAUGGUAGAAGCCCGAGUUCAGUAGAAACUCCGGAAUUAAGUGGGGUGUGGACCAUUGUAGUGACAACCUGUUGUUUGCUGAUAUGGAUCCCGUUUGGAUUGACUUGUUUUUAGUGUUUUUAAGCUAAAAUAGACUUUUUAAGCACUUUUCAAGUGUUUGGGUAUAUUUAAAAAAUGCGUAUAAUGUUAAAAAUAAGUCAACAGUAAGCACUUAAUUUUAAGCUAAAAUUUUAAAAAUAAGUCAAAAGUUAUAAGUUAGAAAUCUAACUUAUGACUUACUUAUGACUUUUGGCUUAAAACGCUAAAAAAUAAGUCAUGGGUUACGGCUUAUAAGUUGAAAAGCCAAAAGCGAAUCAAGAUAUGCACAUGACUGGUAAAUGAUUUUUGAAGCUGGCUCCUCGACUGGUUAGUGUUGGAGCGUUAAGAGAAAGCAACACUCCAAUUUUGUCUCUUAAAGUUCAGUACGCUGCGAGUUGUGACACUAGAACAUGGGAUUAGUAGGGUUGAGCUCUGCAUUAUGUCUGGUUAUUACCUACCAAACAUUCGACAGCUAGUUGGCAUAUUCUUCUUCUAUGGACCAAGUUCUAUGUCUGAAGUUGUCUUGUUUUCUACUAGUAUUGUUUCUUUACAUAAUAGCGGUUCCAUUUGGAACACAGCCCCUGCUGAUAAUGUGGAUCUGGUCUUGUUUCAUUUGUUCCGUAAAGACUUGGCUUGCUGGUUAUGUAUAUUUAAUAUACUCGGUGCUCCAAUCUAUUAUUGAAUGAACUGUCCCUUCGAAAGUUAGCUUUCUAAAGCCAUAUGUACUAUGGUAGAAGCCCGAGUUCAGUAGAAACUCCGGAAUUAAGUGGGGUGUGGACCAUUGUAGUGACAACCUGUUGUUUGCUGAUAUGGAUCCCGUUUGGAUUGACUUGUUUUUAGUGUUUUUAAGCUAAAAUAGACUUUUUAAGCACUUUUCAAGUGUUUGGGUAUAUUUAAAAAAUGCG